GACGAACGCUGGCGGCGUGCUUAACACAUGCAAGUCGAACGAUGAAGCCGGAGCUUGCUCCGGUGGAUUAGUGGCGAACGGGUGAGUAACACGUGAGCAAUCUGCCCUUGACUCUGGGAUAACUGAGGGAAACUGUAGCUAAUACCGGAUACGACACCUUGGGGCAUCCCAGGGUGUGGAAAGAAUUUCGGUACAGGAUGAGCUCGCGGCAUAUCAGCUAGUUGGUGGGGUAAUAGCUCACCAAGGCGACGACGGGUAGCCGGCCUGAGAGGGUGACCGGCCACACUGGAACUGAGACACGGUCCAGACUCCUACGGGAGGCAGCAGUGGGGAAUAUUGCACAAUGGGCGAAAGCCUGAUGCAGCAACGCCGCGUGAGGGAUGAAGGCCUUCGGGUUGUAAACCUCUUUUAGCAGGGAAGAAGCGAAAGUGACGGUACCUGCAGAAAAAGCACCGGCUAACUACGUGCCAGCAGCCGCCGUAA
rnacentral:rRNA from 1 species